rnacentral:rRNA from 1 species
ACGGGGCCCGCACAAGCGGUGGAGCAUGUGGUUUAAUUCGAAGCAACGCGAAGAACCUUACCAGGUCUUGACAUCCCUGACAACCCGAGAGAUCGGGCGUUCCCCUUCGGGGGACAGGGUGACAGGUGGUGCAUGGUUGUCGUCAGCUCGUGUCGUGAGAUGUUGGGUUAAGUCCCGCAACGAGCGCAACCCUCGCCUUUAGUUGCCAGCAUUCAGUUGGGCACUCUAAAGGGACUGCCGGUGUCAAACCGGAGGAAGGUGGGGAUGACGUCAAGUCCUCAUGGCCUUUAUGCUUAGGGCUACACACGUGCUACAAUGGGUGGUACAAAGAGCAGCCAACUCGCGAGAGCGCGCUAAUCUCAAAAAGCCAUCCUCAGUUCGGAUUGGAGUCUGCAACUCGACUCCAUGAAGUUGGAAUCGCUAGUAAUCGCGGAUCAGCACGCCGCGGUCGAAUACGUUCCGGCCUU